rnacentral:rRNA from 1 species
GAUGAACGCUGGCGGCGUGCCUAAUACAUGCAAGUCGAGCGAACAGAUGAGGAGCUUGCUCCUCUGACGUUAGCGGCGGACGGGUGAGUAACACGUGGAUAACCUACCUAUAAGACUGGGAUAACUUCGGGAAACCGGAGCUAAUACCGGAUAAUAUAUUGAACCGCAUGGUUCAAUAGUGAAAGACGGUUUUGCUGUCACUUAUAGAUGGAUCCGCGCCGCAUUAGCUAGUUGGUAAGGUAACGGCUUACCAAGGCAACGAUGCGUAGCCGACCUGAGAGGGUGAUCGGCCACACUGGAACUGAGACACGGUCCAGACUCCUACGGGAGGCAGCAGUAGGGAAUCUUCCGCGAUGGGCGAAAGCCUGACGGAGCAACGCCGCGUGAGUGAUGAAGGUCUUCGGAUCGUAGAACUCUGUUAUUAGGGAAGAACAAAUGUGUAAGUAACUAUGCACGUCUUGACGGUACCUAAUCAGAAAGCCACGGCUAACUACGUG